AUUCUUAAUAGCAUGACGUUGUCUAACUAAACAGGAGGUCCGGGGAUCGAUUAUAUUAAUAUAAUACCCCACACAAGAAAUGCAAAACAGGUGUGUCGAGUUUCGACAAAGAAUGGUGUCUGGAAUGUUUAGACGUAGACUGGGUGAAACAAAUCACAUGGAUGGAAUAAAUAAUAGUCAUGAUGCAAAUGGCGACACAGAAGAGGGGUCAUACAAGGCAAAACUGUUCAAGAAAUCUCGCUAUCCUAAGAGAUGUUUGGUAGUUGUGUUCUUGGUGUUGAUGAUUAUUGUAGCUAAUUACAUGGAGAUUAUUGGUAUAUCAAGUAAACUAGAAUACAUGCUAAAACUUAGCGACUCGGUCAUCAAAAGGAGAUUAGUUACAACUGGUGCUGUAGCCGCUGACAAUCUGGAAUGUUCUCAA